GUGAUGACAGUGGAGCUCGGGCUCGGAAGUGGCUUGCGUCAGCCUCUGAGCCGGCAGCCAGAUGCUCUUCUUGCUUGAUGGUCAUCAUCCCAGAGGUGGGGAGUCACUGUAGUUUCCACAGAGGACUGACUGUACCAGCUGCUUUGCAUACAUCAUCUAUGAUUCCCUCGGUAUCUCCGCAAGGUUGGUGUUAUUAUCCACAAGUUCCGGAUGGGAGGAAAGACUCAGAGAAGUCAAGGAACACCCUCUGACUCACACAGCUGCUGGCUGGUGCUGACUGACUCCAGGGGCCCCUCUGUCUCCUUGGUGGGUUUCUGAGUGAUCCCAGGAUGUGAAGUAAGAGGGGCCUGUUUCCUCCUGAGCCUCAGAUGUGCACACUGAUCUGUCCCUCAGACCACCAUGAAUUUAGGAUGAGGAGGGUGAGCAGGGAAGUUUCUUCUGAUGGAGGCACAAGGCUUUCCUCAAUCUAAGGUCUGCGAAGGGCAGAGCUGGCCACUGCAUGCCCUCCGCCCAUCCUGGCCAGGGACCAGCCAGCAGAGGCCACCAGCCAGCACGUGGACGUCACAUUCUCUCUAAAGAAACUGCGGUCACCUCUGCUUCUGCUUCCACCAGUCCUGAGUCUGGCCACAAAUUGAGGGCUCUCCCAGAUAAAAAUUCUGUUAAGUUACAAGUCAGCGUGACCCUGUAAGAUAAGGACUUGCUCCUUAACCCCAGAGUCAGACACCAGAAUUCCUGUCCGGCUCUACUCACAGCUUGUGCGAGAGCCCUGGAUGCAGCACCAGGAUUCCAGGCUUUGGUUUGUUAUCCAGUGCUUCCUGCCCCGAGGCGGGCUUUGUGAGGCUCGGCUGCCACAGAAGACAGGCGAGAACUUUGAACAGUGUGCCCACUCCCAUUCUUAGCUGUUAUUUUAGGUCUGCUGUGGACUGACCCAGUGAUCCCUGGCUUGUUUUCUGAUCCCCUUAUUGUGUAUUCCCAAUAAAAUGGUUAAAAAACAAAAACGAAAAAAAACCAAAACACUCUCUUGGCCAAAUAGACUUUUUUUUUUUUUUUGUAACAAAAAGAAUCAAAGUGGAAAUAAAGGAUAUCUUUCUAAGCAGAAAGAGGCUAUUUGUCACCAGGGUAGGUAACUGAGAGUUAUAGAUUUCACUCCCCAGAGAAGUUUAAGAAAAUAAGGGGCAUUGAGAUGUUUGGGGAACUUUAGUAGCGUCUGGAGACAGGUUGAAAACCAGAUACUCCUUGGCGACUUAUUUCAGCUACAGGACUGUGAGGCCUGCCUCCCUCAGGGGAGCUAACCACAGAAGGGCUCAGGUUUGGUGCAGAGGAUGGGCUAAGUGAUCUCAGGCAGUUCCCUUAG
ensembl:lncRNA